rnacentral:pre_miRNA from 1 species
UAGUAAAAAUUUUAUCCAUUUGUAUUAUUAAAAUUGGCGUGGUUAAUGGAAUAACCAAACAGUGACAUAUGUCAUGCUACGUGUAUCUCAUGCUGAUGUAUAGGGAUCAGUUUUUAAUAGUAGAAAAUAAUGAAAUUCUUAA